UUAUCUCAAGCUUCUUCUUGCUGCCAGGUUACGCACCCCCUGGUGGCCAUUUGAAAGAAUGCAGAUUUGACGUACUUUUGAAUAGCCUUGACUUUUCAGAUCUGGUGGGUCGUCAUCUUUUAGAUACAGUCUGUGGCCACACAUUGAGAUAAUUCUAGAAAACACCAGAAGUCCUUUAAGUUUGCUGCUCCUCAAGUACGCACCGAGUACCCAUCCAUCAGGUAAACAGGAGUCGGGACGACGUUCUUGGCACAUGCAUCAAAUCUCUCUUUACACACCCAGUGCGGUAAACCAUCUCCAUCGUUAAUCUUCCUGAACGUAACUUGUUUGUCUUUCGGCCGGCCGAACAUUUGGAUGGACAGACCGUUUCGGGCCGUGUGCGGCUCAUGGAGGUGUAAUGGGAGGGAAAAUCUGUAGCCCACUCAUGUGCAGAGCUGUUCAUUAGCAGUGGCAGCAGAGGGGGCCGGGGGACGGCCAGCCGCUGGUUGUUUUUCCACUUGGUUUAUUUAUUUGGCACACAGAGGAGCUGCAGAGGCUGCUGCUGAAGGCGAGGUGUUUAAAGUGAGAGCAGGUCAGAAACAUAAAUGUUUUCUCAGGAACACCCCAGAGCCCCGGCUAAUACAGAGCUGCGGUCAGAGGAAAACUCGCUUCUCCUACACCUUAUCUUUCCUCCUACAUCACGCUCCUUUCCUCAUCUACUUCUCCUCAUCUCCUCUGCUUGUCUCCUUUUCUUUUUCCACUGUUCGCUUCCUCAUGGUUUUGUUUUUCUACUCUCUUCAUUACGUUUCCUUUCAUCCCUUUUUUCUUCUUCCAGUAGUUCCUAUCCUUAUCCAUCCCUUCCUUAUCUCCUACCAUUUCUUCUCCUCUUUCCUUAUCUCCCCUUCGUAUCUUCUUCAUUUUUCAUUUCCUCAUUUCUCUCAUUUCUUCCUCUGCUUCCUCCUUCCAUCCCCAUUCCCAUUUUUCUCUCUGCUUUCCUUUUCCUCCAUCGUUUCUCCUUCUAUUUCAACCUGUUAUUCCAUCGGCCUCAUUCCCAUCUUUCCUUAUCCUUUCCUUCCUUUCCCUUCUUGUCCUUGAUCUCCCUCAUGCCUUUCUCCCUUAUCACUUCUUUUUGUUUCCUUCCUUAUUGCCUUUCUAUCCUUUUCCUUUAGAUUUCUCUCCCUCUUUCCUCAUUUGAUCUUGCCCUUCUUUUUGUUUCCUCUCCUUUGUACUACUCAUCUUUCCUUUUUUGUGUUCCCUCUUCCUCUUUCCUUGCCUUUUGCGUCUCUUUCUUCCUCUUCUCUUUCCUCAUCCCUGGUUACCUCUCCUUUUCUCCUCUCAAUGUUUCCUACCCUUGCAGUUUAUUCUCCUCUCCUUUUUUAGCUUCUUUUCCUGUUUCCUCUGCUCAUCCUGUCUUCUUCCUCCCCGUCCUUCUUGUCUGAUGCAUUUGUUUCCUUGUGUCAUAAUCUCACUCCUCCUUUCCCUGUCACCCCUCAUCAUUUGUUGUCUUCUUGUUUUCUCUCCUCGUCUCCUUUUCAUCCUCCUUCCACUCCCGUUUCCUCGCUGCCUGUCCCUCUUGUCUCAUGUCCUUGUCCUCUUUCCUCUCCUCCUCCUCUUCCUCCUGUCACUGCGUCACACACAGAAGAGGAAGAAGAGCUGAAUAAGGGCAGAUUUUCUGUCCCUCGUCUCUGACAGCAGCAGCUCUGUGAUCAUUUCUGCCCGUCUGCAGCUCAGCGACAGCUUCGCACUCUUCUCUCUCGUCUACCCACAAGCACGAGGGCUGUCACGCCGAUGCACCAAAAACCUGACGUCCCCGGCGGCCAAUCACAUCGAAGCGGAAAGUAGUGGUAGCGCAGGAGGGGGACAGGGAGGGGGAAGGGGCGGGGGAGGAGAUCAUAAAUCAUGGAUGAUUUAACAGAAACUUGAAAUACAUUUGUCUGUUUGUAAAAUUUGAUUUUUGUCUUUUUUUCUUUUUCCCUUCCCUUUCACCGCUUCUCGUUUCCAUUCUAAUUUUUUCUUCCUUUGCUCCCGAAUCUUCCCUCUCUGCUUGCUUUUUUGGGGCAGUGCUGAGCUUUUGUCACCGCUACAGCAGAAACGCCGCUCAUUGAUCUGGGCGAUCAUCAUCACCAUCACCACAUCACCAUCAGUUUCGCUGACGUUUUCCCCUCGCUGCUUUUUCGCACAUCAUUUUGGUCUCUCAGGCCUCAGCUGGACUAAUAACGUGAGGAGUGAGUACUCGGAUCGUUCUGGUUUUGGACUCCUAAAUCCUAGCUCAGACCUUGAAGGUGUGACAUUUUGUCAUUAGCGUAAUUUGUCUGACUCUCUCGGCUGCCGUAGAGGUCGUUUUCACAUUAAGGAGCCAAAUUAAAAGGGUAAAAAUUUAUUCUGCACAUUUGGAGGUUUUUCCAUUGGCUCCAGACCUGCGUCGUGAAGCAGUGUGAGGAUUUCACCUCUAACAUGUAUGUCGCAAAUCCAUCUUUCACCAUAACUAACAGCUAAACACAAUAGCUGUGUCCCAGCUUUGCACCGGCUCAGUUACCUUAAAAAAUAACUUUUAUGCUCAUUAAAAAAAUGCUGCUUUGGGG
ensembl:lncRNA